GUCGAACGCGCAGCAUUCUGUAGCAAUACAGGGUGUGGGCGCGUGGCGAACGGGUGCGUAACACGUGGAUAACCUUCCUUCAGGUGGGGAAUAACCCAGUGAAAACUGGGCUAAUACCGCAUAACAUGACGAUGGCACAUGCCGUUGUCUUCAAAGGCGCAAGUCGCCAGAAGAGGGAUCCGCGGCCGAUUAGCUUGUUGGCGAGGUAAUGGCUCACCAAGGCAUUGAUCGGUAGCCGGACUGAGAGGUUGGCCGGCCACACUGGAACUGAGACACGGUCCAGACUCCUACGGGAGGCAGCAGUGGGGAAUCUUGCACAAUGGACGAAAGUCUGAUGCAGCAACGCCGCGUGGGGGAUGAAGCUUCUCGGAGUGUAAACCCCUUUCGACCCGGAAGAAUGCCCGCAAGGGUUUGACGGUACGGGUAUAAGAAGCCCCGGCUAACUACGUGCCAGCAGCCGCGGUAAUACGUAGGGGGCCAGCGUUGCUCGGAAUUACUGGGCGUAAAGGGUCUGUAGGCGGUGCGGCAAGUCGAUAGUGAAAUCCCUAGGCUUAACCUAGGGGCUGCUAGCGAAACUGCCGUGCUAGAGUGUGAGAGAGGCGAGUGGAAUUACGGGUGUAGCGGUGAAAUGCGUAGAUAUCCGUAGGAACAUCCGAGGCGAAAGCGGCUCGCUGGAUCACAACUGACGCUGAGAGACGAAAGCUAGGGGAGCAAACAGGAUUAGAUACCCUGGUAGUCCUAGCCCUAAACCAUCA
rnacentral:rRNA from 1 species